rnacentral:rRNA from 1 species
UACGUAGGGGGCAAGCGUUGUCCGGAUUUAUUGGGCGUAAAGAGCGUGUAGGCGGCUAGAUAGGUCCGUUGUGAAAACUCGAGGCUUAACCUCGAGAUGUCAUCGGAAACCAUCUGGCUAGAGUCCGGAAGAGGAGAGUGGAAUUCCUGGUGUAGCGGUGAAAUGCGCAGAUAUCAGGAAGAACACCAAUGGCGAAAGCAGCUCUCUGGGACGGUACUGACGCUGAGACGCGAAAGCGUGGGGAGCGAACAGG